rnacentral:misc_RNA from 1 species
ACAAAACUUGACGCAAUCUCAACAGACCUUUCAGAAAUUGCAGAGAAAAAAAUAGCAAUAAUAUAGAAAAAGUCAAUGUAAAUACUAAAAUUAGCUCCCAUAAGACAAACUGAAUACACAUGGAUUACAUAGAUGAGAUAUAUCAAUAUGCUAGCAGUUUAGCCAUCAUUUUUAUACAAACAUAAUCUAACAGAAUGACCAAACUCUAUUUGGUUCACAAAAUAGAAUAGAGUAGCAAUAAAUUAAUUAUUUUAUAAUCAUAGAAAUAGAAUGGCUAUUCUUUAUUUAUGUGUGGAAACUAUGUUCUAUAAAUUUGAGGAAUUUACAUUCUACGUACUACUAAAGUAAUAAUUAUUUCACAUUUAAAUUUUGAAAAACAGUAACAAAUAACUAUCAUCAUGGCUGCUGAUUUUAUUCCCAUGCUAUUCCACAAACCAAAUCAAAAGUAAGCUUUAAUCUACCAUUAGCAAAAUUCUCUUUCUGCAUACAAACUCAUUUAUUUAACAGGCCAAGAUGAGUUUGUGAGACACAUUUGUCACUUGAUCUUUGACGUCAUCAAAAGCAUGCAACUAGAUAUCUGCAUAUACAGCUUUUUAAAAUCAUCAUAAAACUCCCAACUAGAUCUCUAAAACUGCCUAAAUACGAGAUAGAAUACAUUUCACAUGUGCCUAUUUGGCAUUGAGUCUAGAGGACUGAAAUUGUUUUUUUGAAUAAAGCACCAUUUUAGAUGCCAUUGAAAAAAACAGUUUGGAAAAAACUAUUUUAUCAUUUUAAUAUUCUUAUGACUAGAACUUAUCAAAUUUAAUUUUAAA